rnacentral:rRNA from 1 species
AUUGAACGCUGGCGGCAGGCUUAACACAUGCAAGUCGAGCGGAGUGAUGGUGCUUGCACUAUCACUUAGCGGCGGACGGGUGAGUAAUGCUUAGGAAUCUGCCAUUUAGUGGGGGACAACAUUCCGAAAGGAAUGCUAAUACCGCAUACGUCCUACGGGAGAAAGCAGGGGAUCUUCGGACCUUGCGCUAAAUGAUGAGCCUAAGUCGGAUUAGCUCGUUGGUGGGGUAAAGGCCUACCAAGGCGACGAUCUGUAGCGGGUCUGAGAGGAUGAUCCGCCACACUGGGACUGCGACACGGCCCAGACUCCUACGGGAGGCAGCAGUGGGGAAUAUUGGACAAUGGGCGGAAGCCUGAGCCAGCCAUGCCGCGUGUGUGAAGAAGGCCUUUUGGUUGUAAAGCACUUUAAGCGAGGAGGAGGCUCUUCUAGUUAAUACCUAGGAUGAGUGGACGUUACUCGCAGAAUAAGCACCGGCUAACUCUGUGCCAGCAGCCGCGGUAAUAC